CCUACGGGGGGCAGCAGUGGGGAAUAUUGCACAAUGGGCGAAAGCCUGAUGCAGCAACGCCGCGUGAGCGAUGAAGGCCUUCGGGUCGUAAAGCUCUGUCCUCAAGGAAGAUAAUGACGGUACUUGAGGAGGAAGCCCCGGCUAACUACGUGCCAGCAGCCGCGGUAAUACGUAGGGGGCUAGCGUUAUCCGGAAUUACUGGGCGUAAAGGGUGCGUAGGUGGUUUUUUAAGUCAGAAGUGAAAGGCUACGGCUCAACCGUAGUAAGCUUUUGAAACUAGAGAACUUGAGUGCAGGAGAGGAGAGUAGAAUUCCUAGUGUAGCGGUGAAAUGCGUAGAUAUUAGGAGGAAUACCAGUAGCGAAGGCGGCUCUCUGGACUGUAACUGACACUGAGGCACGAAAGCGUGGGGAGCAAACAGGAUUAGAUACCCCCGUAGUC
rnacentral:rRNA from 1 species